rnacentral:rRNA from 1 species
AUUGAACGCUGGCGGCAGGCCUAACACAUGCAAGUCGAGCGAGUGGCGGACGGGUGAGUAAUGUAUGGGGAACUGCCCGAUAGAGGGGGAUAACUACUGGAAACGGUAGCUAAUACCGCAUACUAUCAGAUGAGCCCAGAUGGGAUUAGCUAGUAGGUGGGGUAAAGGCUCACCUAGGCGACGAUCCCUAGCUGGUCUGAGAGGAUGAACAGCCACACGGGAACUGAGACACGGCCCAGACUCCUACGGGAGGCAGCAGGGGGGAAUAUUGCACAAUGGGCGCAAGCCUGAUGCAGCCAUGCCGCGUGUAUGAAGAAGGCCUUCGGGUUGUAAAGUACUUUCAGCGGGGAGGCGUUACCCGCAGAAGAAGCACCGACUAACUCCGUGCCAGCAGCCGCGGUAAUAC